GGCAAGAGGCCCCAGGUCCUACCAUGUGGACCUCUCCAUAGGACUGCUUGUGUGUUCUCAUGACAUGACAACCAGCUUCUUCCAGAGUAAGAGAUCCCAAAGAGAGCAAAGAGGAAGCCAGAGGACUGAUUUUCCAUCUGGCCUAACCAGAGUCUGAAGUUGCUGAAUUAAACAGAGCCAAUAGGUCGGACUUGAGCUGGCUGGAGCAUGCACAGAGCUGGGAAGCACAACUUACCCUGUAUUUCAUACAAUACAAAGGAAGAUGGCUGUUUGGGGUUGCCAUGUCUCUUAGCAAUAAGGAGAUGGCUACAGCCAAGCAGUGUGAAGUGACAGCACCAGAAAGUUUUCUACACCAGAGGCUGAGAACAGGGGCUGUGCAGUCAUAUUCAAUAUUGAGUCCCCAACCCUAACCCAGGCCUGGCACAUACAAGACAUUCAGCAGAUGGCUAUUGAAUGAAAAUAUAUAAAUGAAUGAACUAUUACCAGCUGCCUCCACUCCCUUAACCUGCUACAGAAUUAAUAAACUAAUCUUGAGCAUA